rnacentral:lncRNA from 1 species
GUAAGAAAGUUGCAGUAAUUCAUUGGUGUAAGAAAGUUGCAGUAAUUCAUUUGUGUAAGAAAGUUGCUGUUUGAUGCAAUUGCUUUUGCUGUGUCAUGUGGUAACACAACUAUAUAGUGAAAAAUAAAAGAUAUGGAUGUUAUUAUAGAAGAGCCUAGCAAAAAGAUGAAGUAAAAGAAUAAAGAUAAAAGAUAGAAAGGAAGUAAAAAAUUUAGUUUUAAUUCUGCCUUUUUAUAGAAGAAACUUCUAUUUACUUUGGAGAGGUGUAAAUGAGCCAAAUCCAAGUAAAUGAGAUAAGAAGAUAAUAUAUGCAUAUGUAGAAGGGAGCUAAGAGUAGACUUUAGCCAAAUUUACCUCAAGAAGCUAAAAAUUGAUACCUAGAGAGGAUCAAUUGCCAACCUUGGUCA